UUACCUACGGGAGGCAGCAGUCGGGAAUAUUGCGCAAUGGAGGAAACUCUGACGCAGUGACGCCGCGUAUAGGAAGAAGGUUUUCGGAUUGUAAACUAUUGUCAUUAGGGAAGAUAAAAGACUGUACCUAAGGAGGAAGCCCCGGCUAACUAUGUGCCAGCAGCCGCGGUAAUACAUAGGGGGCAAGCGUUAUCCGGAAUUAUUGGGUGUAAAGGGAGCGUAGACGGCCAUGCAAGCCUGGAGUGAAAGCCCGGGGCCCAACCCCGGGACUGCUCUGGGAACUGUGCGGCUGGAGUGCGGGAGGG
rnacentral:rRNA from 1 species